rnacentral:rRNA from 1 species
UACGUAGGGUGCAAGCGUUUAAUCGGAAUUACUGGGCGUAAAGCGUGCGCAGGCGGCUUUGCAAGACAGAUGUGAAAUCCCCGGGCUUAACCUGGGAACUGCAUUUGUAACUGCAUGGCUAGAGUGCGGCAGAGGGGGAUGGAAUUCCGCGUGUAGCAGUGAAAUGCGUAGAUAUGCGGAGGAACACCGAUGGGCGAAGGCAAUCCCCUGGGCCUGCACUGACGCUCAUGCACGAAAGCGUGGGGAGCGAACAGG